AUGGUAAGAGAAAGAGAACUGAAGGCUCGGCAAGACAUUUCACAGAGACAUGUCUGACAGCAGAAUGAAUUAGAAAUUUUUUUUUAGGAGAAGGAAAUAAUUGCAA
rnacentral:lncRNA from 12 species